AGAGACGGUGCGAGAACCGGAGGUGCGGGAGGAAGUAGUGAGACCCCUGCCGGCGUGCCGGGACAGGUGCGCAAAGCACAGGAAGGAAGGGUCAAGAACAGGUCAGUGAUGCCCUUAGAUGGUCUGGGCUGCACGCGCACU
rnacentral:rRNA from 1 species